CUGCCCCAGGCUCAGGACUCCAUGCCCAGCAGGGCCGGCUCUGGCCCCCAGGACUCCCCCAGCAGCAGGCAGCAUCCUCUGGCCUUGGGGUUGCCUUCUUACCCCCCAGCUAUCGGGACUCCUAUUUUCUGAUGCUGAGUGGGGCCCAGGGGCAAGGCCCUGAGUUACUUGCUCCCUCAGUCCCCUCAAGCUGAGGGCUGGAGGGCACCCACCAGGCCUCCCCAGCUCAGCCUGGGCCAGGGCACUGUUGAAUCGUGUUGCUGCUAAGUGCAACAGCUAAAAAUACAGCCACAGGCCAGUGUGUGCAGUGCCAUGGAUGCCAGGAGCAGGGAGCGGACCAGGACACCGAGGGGCUACAAGCUACAGUGAUGGUGCUAAAGAGCCAGAACUGGCCUAGACUUGGACUUCUCCUGGCUCUUCCUCUGGCCUCAGGAUGUCUUGGAAUCUGUACAACUGCCGUUCGCCAUUCACCAAUCUGCAUUGAAGCUCUGGGGACUUCCAGGCCUUGUGAAGUCGGGGCUUCAUGGAGGAGGUGAUACCUGAGCUUGGGAGUCAGAGAACAGGCAAAACUUCACCGAGUCACACACUUACAAAAAUAUUUUGCUUCCUUUAAGCCACUUGUUCCGGGCUGGAAUACAACAGUAGGUACAUCUGUUCUUUUUGAAGUGACAACUUGGUGGGGGAGAAAAUAUGAUUGCUCCAGGCAAAAACAUAAGUCCUUGAAAGAGCAGGAAUGAGGAGAACUGCAAAGGAGCAAGUGACAGGAUGCAGAGCACCCCAUGGAGGGCUUCUCGGAGUGGGGGAGGCCAGAGACAGGAAAAUGACUGGGACCUACCUGUGCCACAAGUAGAGGGUACAAAGCUUUGCCAACUCCACCAGCGCACCCAGGGGACCCUGCCCACUUUAAGCCCCUGUUCCAGGACGGAGCGCAAGCGGAGCCUCUACCUGCUGGGCUGGUUGGCAGAAUUCAAGGAAAUCAUCUCUACGAAAUGCCUAGCACAAGAUGCUGAACAUGGAUUGUGAGUGAAUUGAUGAAGAGGUAAAACUACACCACAAUGCAGAAGGGUGCCAUAUAUGAAGCCAUUGGGCACCAAUAUGAGAGGCAGUAAAUCACCCCAGCCGAUUAAGUGC